GGUUGGUGGCUUAGUGGUAAAGCACUUGCCUAGAACAUGUGAGGCACUGGGUUGGAUUCUCAGCACCA
rnacentral:tRNA from 1 species